UACGAAGGGGGCUAGCGUUGCUCGGAAUGACUGGGCGUAAAGGGCGCGUAGGCGGAUGGCACAGUCAGAUGUGAAAUUCCCGGGCUUAACCUGGGGGCUGCAUUUGAUACGUGUGAUCUAGAGUGAGGAAGAGGGUCGUGGAAUUCCCAGUGUAGAGGUGAAAUUCGUAGAUAUUGGGAAGAACACCGGUGGCGAAGGCGGCGACCUGGUCCGUUGACUGACGCUGGAGGCGCGAAAGCGUGGGGAGCAAACAGG
rnacentral:rRNA from 1 species